rnacentral:rRNA from 1 species
GACGAACCGUGCGAACGUUGUUCGGAAUCACUGGGCUUAAAGGGCGCGUAGGCGGCAUUCAAGUUCCGGGGUGAAAGCCCCCAGGCUUAACUAGGGGCAAGUGCCUUGGGAUACUGGUAGUGCUGGAGGGAGGUAGGGGUCGAGGGAACUUCUGGGUGGAGCGGUGAAAUGCGUAGAUAAUCGGGAGGAACACCUGUGGCGAAAGCGGCAU